rnacentral:rRNA from 1 species
UACAGAGGGGGCAAGCGUUGUUCGGAAUUACUGGGCGUAAAGGGCGCGUAGGCGGCCUGCUAAGUCGAACGUGAAAUCCCUGGGCUCAACCCAGGAACUGCGUCCGAUACUGGUUGGCUUGAAUCCGGGAGAGGGAUGUGGAAUUCCAGGUGUAGCGGUGAAAUGCGUAGAUAUCUGGAGGAACACCGGUGGCGAAGGCGGAUCUCUGGGCCGUAACUGACGCUGAGGAGCGAAAGCAUGGGGAGCGAACAGG